GCCAUCAUUCAGUAGGGCACUCUAGAGGGACUGCCGGUGAUAAGCCGAGAGGAAGGUGGGGAUGACUUCAAUUCCUCAUGGCCCUUACGGGCUGGGCUACACACUUGCUACAAUGGUGGUGACAAUGGGCAGCAAAACCCCAAGGCCGACCUAAUCUCAAAAAGCCAUCUCAGUUCGGAUUGCACUCUGCAACUCGAGUGCAUGAAGUUGGAAUCGCUAGUAAUCGUGGAUCACCAUGCCACGGUGAAUACGUUCCCGGGCCUUGUACACACCGCCCGUCACACCAUGGGAGUUGGUUUUACCCGAAGGUGGUGCGCUAACCCGCAAGGGAGGCAGCCAACCACGGUGGGGUCAGCGACUGGGGUGAAUUCGUAACAAGGUA
rnacentral:rRNA from 1 species